UGGAUUCAGCUAUUUCUUGAAGCAGCAAUUUGGCCCUUUGUGUGAACGUUUGUUCGUCUGCAAUCUGCUUUUGCUUGGUGUUUGAUGGUGUUGUAGUCGGUGAAGCUUGGAGAGUUGUUGGUGAAUCUUGUAGAGGCAGUGGUAUGUUUGGAACUUCAGCUGCUGUGUAGGCUUUGAUGAUUGCAUUUCUUCUUUGUGGCAGUCCUUGAAAAGUUGUCUCAUAUGUUUUGAUGAAACAAAUCAGCCUAUGCUUUUUCAUGAUGGUAGAAAGUUCUUGGUUCAUUGUUAUUCCCUGAGAUGACAAGAAUGAAUGUGAGUGUUUAUAUAUUAGUAUUUUGUAUAUAAAUGUUGAAGGUAGAUUUGAAAGGUAAGUGUGCUACUGAACAUGUGCCUCUUCAUCCUUC
rnacentral:lncRNA from 1 species